rnacentral:miRNA from 1 species
UUAGUGCAUAGUCUUUGGUCU